UACGGAAGGGGCGAGCGUUGUUCGGAAUCAUUGGGCGUAAAGGGCGCGUAGGUGGUUCUGUAUGUCUACCGUGAAAGCGUACGGCUCAACCGUAUUUUGUCGGUAGAAACUGCAGAACUUGAGGCUGGGAGGGGCUGGUGGAAUUCCCUGUGUAGCGGUGAAAUGCGUAGAUAUCUAGAGGAACGCCAAGGUGAAGACAGGCGGCUGGGCCAAUUCUGACGCUGAGGCACGAAAGCGUGGGUAGCGAACGGG
rnacentral:rRNA from 1 species